rnacentral:rRNA from 1 species
AUUGAACGCUGGCGGCAUGCUUUACACAUGCAAGUCGAACGGCAGCGCGGGCUUCGGCCUGGCGGCGAGUGGCGAACGGGUGAGUAAUUCAUCGGAACGUGCCCAGUAGUGGGGGAUAGCCCGGCGAAAGCCGGAUUAAUACCGCAUACGACCUGAGGGUGAAAGCGGGGGACCGAAAGGCCUCGCGCUAUUGGAGCGGCCGAUGUCGGAUUAGCUAGUUGGUGGGGUAAAGGCUUACCAAGGCGACGAUCCGUAGCUGGUCUGAGAGGACGACCAGCCACACUGGGACUGAGACACGGCCCAGACUCCUACGGGAGGCAGCAGUGGGGAAUUUUGGACAAUGGGGGCAACCCUGAUCCAGCCAUGCCGCGUGCGGGAAGAAGGCCUUCGGGUUGUAAACCGCUUUUGUUCGGGAAGAAAUCCCCUGGGCUAAUACCCCGGGGGGAUGACGGUACCGGAAGAAUAAGCACCGGCUAACUACGUG